AUUUAAGUAGUUUAAUUUAAAAAUUAUGAUUUGUGGGGUCGUGGAUAUAAGUGUUUUAUCUUAAAUA
rnacentral:tRNA from 2 species